UACGUAGGGUGCAAGCGUUGUCCGGAAUUAUUGGGCGGAAAGAGCUCGUAGGCGGUUUGUUGCGUCGGCUGUGAAAUCCCGAGGCUCAACCUCGGGUCUGCAGUCGAUACGAGCAAACUAGAGUGUUGCAGGGGAGACUGGAAUUCCUGGUGUAGCGGUGAAAUGCGCAGAUAUCAGGAGGAACACCGGUGGCGAAGGCGGGUCUCUGGGCAACAACUGACGCUGAGGAGCGAAAACGUGGGGAGCGAACAGG
rnacentral:rRNA from 1 species